AACGAACGCUGGCGGCAUGCCUAACACAUGCAAGUCGAACGAGACCUUUGGGUCUAGUGGCGCACGGGUGCGUAACGCGUGGGAACCUGCCCUUAGGUUCGGAAUAACUCCCCGAAAGGGGUGCUAAUACCGGAUAAUGUCUUCGGACCAAAGAUUUAUCGCCUUUGGAUGGGCCCGCGUUGGAUUAGCUAGUUGGUAGGGUAGAAGCCUACCAAGGCGACGAUCCAUAGCUGGUCUGAGAGGAUGAUCAGCCACACUGGGACUGAGACACGGCCCAGACUCCUACGGGAGGCAGCAGGGGGGAAUAUUGGACAAUGGGCGAAAGCCUGAUCCAGCAAUGCCGCGUGAGUGAGGAAGGACUUAGGGUUGUAAAGCUCUUUUACCCGGGAUGAUAAUGACAGUACCGGGAGAAUAAGCUCCGGCUAACUCCGUG
rnacentral:rRNA from 1 species